UCCAUGGCGGCGUGCUUACACAUGCAGUCGAACGGUGAAGCAGGAGCUUGCUCUUGUGGAUCAGUGGCGAACGGGUGAGUAACACGUGAGCAACCUGCCCCGGACUCUGGGAUAAGCGCUGGAAACGGCGUCUAAUACUGGAUAUGAGACGUGACCGCAUGGUCAACGUUUGGAAAGAUUUUUCGGUCUGGGAUGGGCUCGCGGCCUAUCAGCUUGUUGGUGAGGUAAUGGCUCACCAAGGCGUCGACGGGUAGCCGGCCUGAGAGGGUGACCGGCCACACUGGGACUGAGACACGGCCCAGACUCCUACGGGAGGCAGCAGUGGGGAAUAUUGCACAAUGGGCGAAAGCCUGAUGCAGCAACGCCGCGUGAGGGAUGACGGCCUUCGGGUUGUAAACCUCUUUUAGCAGGGAAGAAGCGAGAGUGACGGUACCUGCAGAAAAAGCGCCGGCUAACUACGUGCCAGCAGCCGCGGUAAUACGUAGGGCGCAAGCGUUAUCCGGAAUUAUUGGGCGUAAAGAGCUCGUAGGCGGUCUGUCGCGUCUGCUGUGAAAUCUGGAGGCUCAACCUCCAGCCUGCAGUGGGUACGGGCAGACUAGAGUGCGGUAGGGGAGAUUGGAAUUCCUGGUGUAGCGGUGGAAUGCGCAGAUAUCAGGAGGAACACCGAUGGCGAAGGCAGAUCUCUGGGCCGUAACUGACGCUGAGGAGCGAAAGGGUGGGGAGCAAACAGGCUUAGAUACCCUGGUAGUCCACCCCGUAAACGUUGGGAACUAGUUGUGGGGUCCUUUCCACGGAUUCCGUGACGCAGCUAACGCAUUAAGUUCCCCGCCUGGGGAGUACGGCCGCAAGGCUAAAACUCAAAGGAAUUGACGGGGACCCGCACAAGCGGCGGAGCAUGCGGAUUAAUUCGAUGCAACGCGAAGAACCUUACCAAGGC
rnacentral:rRNA from 1 species